ACAACGGCUCUUUUCAGAGCCACCCAAAUUGCUUGGAAGAACUGA
rfam:Heterocephalus glaber contig168509, whole genome shotgun sequence.